rnacentral:tRNA from 1 species
GCCCCGGUCGUCUAGCCCGGUCAACUGCACAAGGCUGAGAGGAUAACGGCCUUUCGAGCCGUGGAUCCCGGGUUCAAAUCCCGGCCGGGGCA